GAGCAUUUUUCUGGGGUGAACUGGGCAGAGGUUUGACUGGCAAGCAGCUCUGGGUGUACAUUUCAUCCAAGAGUCUCAUGGUGGUCGAAGGAGAUCCCCAGAUGCAAAAUCAAAGUUGCUUGGAUUUCCAUUUCUUCCCCAUCUAGGAAAAGGGCAAUGGAAUCAAAGCCUUUAAAAAAUGUAGUAAGAGAAAGACUCUCUAAUUGAUCAGAACCUUCUGGCAACCAGCACUUUGGCCCAUCUACUGAAAAAUACUUUAUCAGUGUCUUUAGUAAAGGCCCCCAAGAUGCACAAUACAUUUUUGGUUGUUGAAAUAGAGUGUCUUCUAAGUCAUCAAGUAAAAGAGAAAUUCUGCUCAGAAGACUUUUGGAUAGUACCCAACAUUUGGUGAGGCUUACUAUAUUACAUGCAUUACCUCGCUAAAUCACCACAUUAGAACACUUACAGGCCGACUGUGCUGCUUUGUCUGAAUCUAGAACAAAGGAUCGGCCCUUAAGGAGGCUGAUGCGAUGUUAAAGCCCAUCACUCUAAAAUUGACACCACACCUGGGAAGAGCAGGCAGCACCAUCACUGGCUUUCCUGUUCAAGAAUGACACCUGUCAAUCAGGUUUCUGACACAUCCAUCACUUGUUAUGUUUAGAAAGGGUGGACCAUCCAUGGCCUUCAUAUCAACGUAUGAAAACCAACAUACCCUCCAGCAAGCUCUACGGCUAUAUGACCCUUAUCCACAGCAAGUCCCUGGGGAAAAUUAUUCCUUAACAUGGUGUUGAAUGCUGACAAGGUAUAUCAGUCAGCUUUGGCUAGCUCUGGAGACUGGAAAUCCAAAAUGGAUCUCACUGUCCUGAAAGCCAGGUGUCAUCCAAGCUGCAUUUCCCAGCCUUUUCUAAUUCCCAGGACACCCACAUCCCUUGGCUUGUGGCCUCAUUCUUCCAUCUUCAAAGUCAACAAUCUCAGUCUUAUAGCACCUUCCUGUAGUGCCAUCUCUCUGGUUCUCUUCUGCCUCACUUUUCCCUUUUUAAAGAUCCUCAUGAUUA
rnacentral:lncRNA from 1 species